rnacentral:lncRNA from 1 species
CCUUUUGCUCCUUCAUGCUUGCCUCUAAUCCAGGUGCCUCUUCCUCCUCACAUACUAUCUCCCAAAGAUCCAAUGACGCCAAAAGUAGCUCCAUUUUGGCCUUCCAGUGGUGAAAUUUGUCACCUCUAAACUUUUCUACCAUUCUUAAGCUAUCACUCUCCAAAGAUGCCAUCUCAAGCUACAAGUAGGUCCAAAAAUCUCUUGAUUUGGAGUUGUAAUGCAAAAGAUAUGACUACUCAAAGAUUUCUGAACUACAAACUCAGAAUUCGCUGUUUUGCAACUUUUUGCAUACUUUGA